rnacentral:rRNA from 1 species
UACGAACGGUCCAAACGUUAUUCGGAAUCACUGGGCUUAAAGCGUCCGUAGGCGGCUCGGAAAGUAGGAUGUGAAAUCCCACGGCUCAACCGUGGAAUUGCGCUCUAAACUAUCGAGCUAGAGGGAGAUAGAGGUGAGCGGAACUGAUGGUGGAGCGGUGAAAUGCGUUGAUAUCAUCAGGAACACCGGAGGCGAAGGCGGCUCACUGGGUCUUUUCUGACGCUGAGGGACGAAAGCUAGGGGAGCGAACGGG